rnacentral:pre_miRNA from 1 species
UUAGUACUUCCUCCUUCAAAAAUACUUGUCAUAAAAAUGAAAGUAUAAAAAUGAAAGUAUCUAGAUGUAUUUCAUUCUAGAUACAUUCAUUUUUAUUUAUUUGGGUGACAAGUAAUUACGUACGGAGGGAGUAUGUA